UGGCUCCUUUUCACAUUGCAUUACUUUAACCUCACCCUACCAACUUUCAGGAGAAAUGAAGGCUGCUGAGAAAAGCUUUUAUUAUUUUCAUUGCCAUGUUAAUCUGUAAAUCAGUUAGUAAAGGUCUGUGCUUGUGCCAAAAUGGGAGAACUGUUUUGAACUGCAUGAAGGAAUCCAUCCUGAGUGCUCUCUAGCAAGGCCUGGGGAUUUUCAUACUGUGACUCAGGAGCAAUGCAAGCAAUGUGACAACUACAGGAAAACACCUGUUAGUAUCAGGUGAAAGGAAGACUUCCCCAUCAUCUCUGCUGAAGGCCUGUACUUGAGGAUUCCAAGAAGAGAUAUUUCUGUGCCUUCAUUUUCUUUUGGAUUCGUGGUGACCUCUUCUCUCCCCUGUAUCUCUCUGGAGAGAUAUUUUUGUGAUAAUGCAGCUGCUUGCUAUCAAAAUAUGAGCAGGGCAAGACUGAAAAUUACU